rfam:Strongylocentrotus purpuratus Contig34293_fixed, whole genome shotgun sequence.
GACAUGGUGGCUCAGUGGUUAGAGCGCCUGCCUCAUGAACGGGAGGUCGUGGGUUCGAACCCCGGCCGAGUCA